UACGUAAGGUCCGAGCGUUGUCCGGAAUCAUUGGGCGUAAAGGGUACGUAGGCGGCCAAACAAGUUAGAAGUGAAAUCCUAUAGCUCAACUAUAGUAAGCUUUUAAAACUAUUUGGCUUGAGAUAUGGAAGGGAAAGUGGAAUUCCUAGUGUAGCGGUGAAAUGCGCAGAUAUUAGGAGGAAUACCGGUGGCGAAGGCGACUUUCUGGCCAUGAUCUGACGCUGAGGUACGAAAGCGUGGGUAGCAAACAGG
rnacentral:rRNA from 1 species